GUUGAUUUACUUAUCUUUUCUCGCUUCGAUCUCUGUUGAUUCCAGCAUUUAUUAUCAUUAAUUUCUCUCCAUUUUUUCAUGUCAAGUCCAAUGGCUGGUCCAGCCUACAGGAAACUGCGUAGAUAUUAGAUACAAGCUACUUUAUUUUUGGGGAGCUUUCUCUAUUUCUAUUUCUUGCUCUCUCCCCUUGGUUCCCGAGAAAAUGUAAUUUGAAGGAAAAUUGG
rnacentral:misc_RNA from 1 species